GCCCGAGUGGCGGAAUGGCAGACGCGGCGGUCUCAAAAACCGUUGUCUUAGACGUGCGGGUUCAAAUCCCGCCUCGGGCA
rnacentral:tRNA from 1 species